rnacentral:lncRNA from 1 species
AAAGUAUUGUUAAAUUUUUGUAUCAAAUGUUGUUUCGAUGGGUCUUUGUUAAUUUUAGUCAUAAAUUGUAACUCAUAACAAUACAAAAACAGGUCCGCAAUAAGUGGUGCACAGUUAGUCCCCAUUGGAAUUCCAAUAACUUGACGAUAUACGGAAUCUCCAAAGCGAACAAAAAUGUUAUCAAGUAAAAAUUCAAGCGCAUAUAUAGUAUCAAAGCAUGUCCAAUUGACAUAGUUCUUUUGUUUAUUGCUACUAAAAAAUGACCUAAAAGAGUUUGAACAUAUAUACUCGCAUUCUGACUUUUUAAAUGCCC